AGAGUUUGAUCCUGGCUCAGAUUGAACGCUGGCGGCAUGCCUUACACAUGCAAGUCGAACGGCAGCACGGGAGCAAUCCUGGUGGCGAGUGGCGAACGGGUGAGUAAUAUAUCGGAACGUGCCCAGUCGUGGGGGAUAACGUAGCGAAAGCUACGCUAAUACCGCAUACGAUCUAUGGAUGAAAGCGGGGGAUCGCAAGACCUCGCGCGAUUGGAGCGGCCGAUAUCAGAUUAGCUAGUUGGUGGGGUAAAAGCCCACCAAGGCGACGACCUGUAGCUGGUCUGAGAGGACGACCAGCCACACUGGAACUGAGACAUGGUCCAGACUCCUACGGGAGGCAGCAGUGGGGAAUUUUGGACAAUGGGCGCAAGCCUGAUCCAGCAAUGCCGCGUGCAGGACGAAGGCCUUCGGGUUGUAAACUGCUUUUGUACGGAACGAAAAA
rnacentral:rRNA from 1 species